CUGUUUAUUGGCAAAGAUGAGCAAUGGCACACCCCUCAGGUUGUCCUCAUCGGUGAGCUCCGACAGCUCCUGUGGAAGAAGGUCAACACAGAGUCGUCGAGAGGAGUCAGCACCAAAUAGAGAAUUUCCAAAUAGGCCCUUCAAGCAGAUCGAAACAUUUACCUUUUGGACUUCUCCCAUAGUGCCGUGAAUUUCGUGGUAGAAAGAGGAUGCAGAAAGAGAUGGAAAGGUGCAGCUACAUUCUAUGUGGGAUAUAUCCAGUUAAGUGUUGGGUUUUCUUAUUGGUCCACUGUUUCUUGAGUCCUCUUCCCUCAGAAUACGUGUUCUUCACUUCGUAGUGUGCAGUACCUUUGCUUCUCUACGUUCCUGGCCUUCCUCAUAUGUGACAGGGGAGGAUGUGGAGACGCACAGGAACACAAAUGCCUUUGUUGCUGGCUGAGCUCAUCUAUCCAGCUGUAAGAGCGAGGGAGAGUGAGAUGGUGAACGGGCUUAUGGCCACACGGACUGCUGCACUGAUGAAUUGAGAGGAACAGG